AACCUCUUCGUUUUCCCUCUGUCUCCCACACUCUCUCUCUUUCUCUCAGACACUGAAAAUCUCCUCACUGUCUCAUCUCUACCACUGCCCACAAACCUAUAGCCACAGCCACCACCACCACCACCUCCCAACCCCCAACCACAACCACCACCACCACCCAAAAAUCGAGCCUAGUUAGGUCCAAAAAGAAAUGGGUUAGGUCUAGCCCGACCCAUUUCUCUUAUCCUUUCUAACCCUAACGGUUCAUGCCCCUAAUCUAGAACCUUCCCUCUUGACAGAAACCAAUGGAUUGAGCAACCUGAUCUCAUCGCCUCAAACCGGCACCGCCAUCAGUAGAGGCGGGUUGCUCCUCAUCAAAAACCCUUACCGAGAUCUCUCUAAUCUAGGUUCGAUCUCUCUCUCUCCCUCUAGACCUUGAUUGGCCUUUCCGAUCAACAUUCCUUUGAGCUUUGAAUUCGACCACUCAGUUUUGUCCAACUUGGUUCGCAGAGUUCCAGACUAUCGUUGUUGUUUCUGUUGCCCCGCAUGGAGUUGUACAGCUUGGCUCUUUAAAUAAAAUUGCAAAAAGAAGAGGCACUAUAAGUUUGUGUGAUCAAAACAAGUGAAGUUGGUGAAAAACUUAAGGUUCUCUUUCUCUCUGUGUGCAAAAAGAAGAGGCACUAUAAGUUUGUGUGAUCAAAACAAGUGAAGUUGGUGAAAAACUUAAGGAUGCUCCUCUGAUCGAACAAUCUCCAGCUCUCCCCAAAUCAUCAGCCGCAUCUUAUCAACCAAGAAGCUUAUAAGUUUUAUCUUGGAGUUCUUGGGCUUUUUUGUGUACAGAGAACUAUGGAAGAACAACCGCAUUUCUUGCAAGUGUUGAAAGACAUUUUUAAACACUUUAGAAUUUUGAUUAUAGUAUUAGAUUAAUUUCAGCGGUUGUUUUAUUCAAAUGACCACAUCUUUUUUUUGUUAAUUUAAAGAUGGUGGUUAUAGACAAUGUUAUGUAUUUGAUAAUAUAUUUUUAUGUCAAUAUUAUGUUAGUUUCAAGACA